ensembl:lncRNA
GAUGGAGAACCAGCCUCAACAGGUUCACCUAGCAAGAUUUUUCCUUUGACAAGUGAUUCUCAGGCGGGUUGGGGAGAAGGCGAUUUUGGCAAAGACUAUUGUGAAUAAAAUUUGCCCCUAUUGAAGUUUUAUCUUCUCUGCUUUCUUUCCUCAGCCUCCGUCGAUCAGGUUCUCAUUUUUUCGCCAAACUGCAAGCCUGUCUUCGAGUGAAUAAAUCUGAUGGCAGUCAACCCCAGCCCACACUGUAACAGCUGUCGUUUUUCCUGCCAGUGCACAAGUGUGAGUCGAAGUGUCCUGUUGUGACCCAGUGAGAGACAGAGUGGGAUAUUGAAAUCUGGAGACAGGUCAGGGAUUUUCCCUCCAUUCUUCAGGUCUUUAUUUAGAGGCAAUCAUAAAUUACGCUCACAAACAUUAUCAAGAACAGGACGGCACAUUAAUCCAGAAUAGCACCUUAUCUGAAGCUUGCCAGGAAGUAUGAGCAUCGCGCUUACAUAUGUACUGAGGUGCGGGCACCCGUCAGCUGCAACAUGGGCCACCGCGGGAGGGACGUGAAAUGUGGCCAUGGUUCUCGGUGGCUUUAAUGCCGUUACGAGGAGGCAGAAACAGGGCCGACCCCGGGGGCCUCCAGGGCCCAGUAAGCCAGUGGCAGGUCCACUUCAUCACCUCUCCUCCGAAUGAACUCUGGCUGAACCCCUCUGCUGUGGUUAUUUUCACUGGCAUCUGCCGCUCCACGGCCGCCGACAUGAGAAAGAGUCCCCUCUUGGUAAUUAUUCGGAGACCGGUUCAAAAGAAAUAUACUCCAAAUAUGAUCUUCCCACGGAAGACGACAACAUCACAAACCACAUCAGCAUUCAGAUGUUAGCAGCACACAAUCAUCCUGUGCUGUGGCUCUGUCAUUGACCUCCAUGGAAUGAGGCCUAGACAGAGUUCCAGGCUUCCACCGAUUGCCAGUAAUUGAAAACACAAGUAGGAUAAUGUCACCAAGAUGUUUGUGAUGUGUCAAAAACAAUGCCCUGCUUAGAUGAGCUCGCAGGCAGCGGAAAGCAUCCCACAACCACACCUUGUACUUGAAGAAUGUUUCCAUUGUGUGUACCAAAAAAAAAAAAAAAAUGAGCAAAUGUGUUCAACUUUGACUUGGAUUUGACUCACCUAUGAAUCAUUGAAUCAUUCUUCCUGUCAAAAGAUGCAAUUUGGUUCAGACAACAAGAAAAAUGUAGAUGUGAUGUUCAUGAUUUCAGAUUCCAUUUCCUGUUUGAGUUAAAUAUGGCUUUAAGUUGGCUAAUCAAUCUAUAGUCAUGUUUGCAAAUGUAUGCUGUAGACCCCAGGGGUCCGGGACAGACCUGCAAAAUGGUUUAGCCCUAAAUGAAGCGUGGCCACAUGCAUUACCUGUCCCCUUUGACCAACAAGAAGGGAAAGACAAGCAGGCAGGGAGGAUAGAGGCAGUGUUUGAUCUCCAUUUAAUGAUCAUCAGUGUCUACGCUAUGAGCGAUGCUCCCCAUGUUAGUUGAAGUAAUCUCUUCAGUGUUUCAUCAGGUCUGCCUGAGACGCGGCCGUGUCCCUGCUCCCCAAACGAGCCAAAACCACACAGUGGAUUUCUCAUCAGGAUCACACACUGCAGUAUAACACAGCAGGGAUCUUAAAGGAUUUAGAAACACUCAGGUUUGAUAAAUUUUUCCAGCACAUCAGCGUCUUGUGGAUAAUCCAAGGGUAUGAAGGAAACAUCUCUGAAGUUGUUAGUCUUGUUUAUCUGCUGUUUUUGCACUGGGUGCUGAGGACAUUUAUUGCGAUAGCAUUUUAUAUAGGCUGGGGCUAAUUGUCACAACUUUUUAGUUUUCUCACCAAAGAGUUCUAAAAAUGUAAAA